rnacentral:tRNA from 1 species
GGUCCCAUGGUUUAGUGGUUAGGACAUUGGACUUUGAAUCCAAUAACUUGAGUUCAAAUCUCGGUGAGACUU